AGAUUGAACGCUGGCGGCAGGCCUAACACAUGCAAGUCGAGCGGUAGAGAGGUGCUUGCACCUCUUGAGAGCGGCGGACGGGUGAGUAAUGCCUAGGAAUCUGCCUAGUGGUGGGGAUAACGUUCGGAAACGGACGCUAAUACCGCAUACGUCCUACGGGAGAAAGCGGGGGACCUUCGGGCCUCGCGCCAUUAGAUGAGCCUAGGUCGGAUUAGCUAGUGGUGAGGUAAAGCUCACCAAGGCUACGAUCCUUAGCUAGGUCUGAGAGGAUGGAUCGAGCCACACCUGGGACUGGAGACGACGGCCCAGACCUCCGUACGGGAGGCGAGCAGUAGGGAAUAUUAGGACAAGUGGGGGACAACCCGUGAC
rnacentral:rRNA from 1 species